rnacentral:tRNA from 1 species
GGGCUCAUAGCUCAGUUGGUUAGAGCGCUACACUGAUAAUGUAGAGGUCCCUGGUUCGAGUCCAGGUGGGCCCA